rnacentral:ribozyme from 2 species
CACUUAACUCCGCCUGUAGCUCUUCUAGAGUUACUGCUGGUCCCAAGCCCGGAUAAAGGAGGAGGGUUUG